rnacentral:rRNA from 1 species
CUAAGAGCAUAUGGUGGAUGCCUUGGCGUCAGAAGGCGAUGAAGGACGUGAUAAGCUGCGAAAAGCUGCGGAGAGGCGCAAAUAGCCAUAGACCCGCAGAUUUCCGAAUGGGGAAACCCGGCCGGGGUCAUACCCGGUCAGCCCGUUACUGAAUACAUAGGUUUCGGGCCGCCAACGGGGGGAAGUGAAACAUCUCAGUACCCCCUGGAAGAGAAAGCAACCGCGAUUCCCUAAGUAGCGGCGAGCGAACGGGGAACAGCCUAAACCGAGCGGCGCGCUAAAGCCUGCCAGCGUUGCGCCGUCGGUGUCGCGGGGCGUGUUCUGAUCCCGGGCAGCGGGGUCGGGGAGUUACAAAUCGAGCAUCUAGUCGAACCAUCUGGGAAGGUGGACCAUAGACGGUGAAAGUCCGGUAGACGACAGAGGCCUCGACUCCCUCGAAUGCGUUCCCAAGUACCGCGGGACACGUGAAAUCCUGCGGGAAUCUGGAGGGACCACCCUCUAAGGCUAAAUACUCUCUGACGACCGAUAGUGAACCAGUACCGUGAGGGAAAGGUGAAAAGAUCUCCUGGCGGAGAGUGAAAUAGAACCUGAAACCAUAUGCUUACAAGCGGUCGGAGGCUUAACCGGAACUUCGGUUCCGGAGCGGCUGACGGCGUGCCUUUUGCAUAAUGAUCCGGCGAGUUACUCGUACGUGGCAAGGUUAAGCGACUUCGUCGCGGAGCCGGAGCGAAAGCGAGUCCGAAAUGGGCGAUCAGUCACGUGCGGUAGACCCGAAGCGGGAGUGAUCUACGCAUGGCCAGGGUGAAGCGAGUUUAACAGUUCGUGGAGGCCCGAACCGGUUACCGUUGAAAAGGCAUCGGAUGAGCUGUGCGUAGGGGUGAAAGACUAAUCAAACUCCGUGAUAGCUGGUUCUCCCCGAAAUAGAUUUAGGUCUAGCCUCGAGAAAUUGUGUGGCGGGGGUAAAGCACUGAUUGGGCUAGGGACCCUACCAGGUUACCAAACCCUUUCAAACUCUGAAUACCGUUCACAUCUAUCUCGGGAGUAAGGGCGCGAGGGAUAAGCUUCGCGACCGAGAGGGAAACAACCCAGAUCGUCAGCUAAGGUCCCUAAGUGUGGGCUAAGUGUAUAAGGAUGUGGGAUCUCCGAGACAACCAGGAUGUUGGCUUAGAAGCAGCCAUCAUUUAAAGAGUGCGUAAUAGCUCACUGGUCAAGUAAUCCUGCGCCGACAAUGUCCGGGACUCAAGUUCACCACCGAAGCUGCGGAUGUGCGCCACCUUCGGGUGUCGUACGUGGUAGGGGAGCGUUCUGUUGUAGGAUGAAGGUGAACCGUAAGGUUCGCUCGACGAACCAGAAGUGAUUAUGCCGGAACGAGUAGCGAGAAACCAGGCGAGAAACCUGGUCACCGAAAACCUAAGGUUUCCUGAGCAAGGUUAAUCCUCUCAGGGUUAGUCGGACCCUUAGCCGAGGCCGAAAGGCGUAGGUGAUGGAAAACGGGUUAAUAUUCCCGUACCAGUCUUUAGGCGAUAAAGACACUAGGGGGUUACGCAGGAGUGACCGUCCAGCCCACGAUCGGAAGUGUGGGUCUAAGCCUGUAGGAGGUUCCCGUAGGCAAAUCCGCGGGGACAUUACUCCGAGAGGUGAUGGGGAGAGCGAAAGCUCACAAACUGGACUUAAUCAGACUGCCGAGAAACACCUCUAUGUGAGUUUGAAGGCUGUCCGUACCGCAAACCGACACAGGUAGGUGGGGUGAGUAUCCUAAGGUGCUCGAGUGAGUCUUGCAGAAGGAACUCGGCAAAAUAGCCCCGUAACUUCGGAAGAAGGGGUGCCCCGUGUACGUGUAGGGCUUCGCGCCCGAAGCGGAAAGGGGCCGCAGUGAAUGGGGUCAACCGACUGUUUACCAAAAACACAUGUCUCUGCUAAGCCGAAGAGGCGACGUAUAGGGACUGACACCUGCCCGGUGCCGGAAGGUUAAAGGGCGUGGUCAGCCGCAAGGCGAAGCCGCAAACUGAAGCCCCGGUAAACGGCGGCCGUAACUAUAACGGUCCUAAGGUAGCGAAAUUCCUUGUCGGGUAAGUUCCGACCUGCACGAAUGGUGUAACGAGUUGACCGCUGUCUCCUGCAAGAGCUCGGCGAAACUGUAGUAGCGGUGAAGAUGCCGCUUACCCGCGACUGGACAGAAAGACCCCGUGCACCUUUACUGUAGCCUGGUAUUGGGUUUUGACACUGCAUGUGUAGGAUAGGUGGGAGGCUUUGAAGCGGGGGCGCUAGCUCUCGUGGAGCCAACCUUGAAAUACCACCCUUGUGAUGUUGGAAUUCUAACCUCGUGCCGUGAAUCCGGCCGAGGAACAGUGCCAGGUGGGCAGUUUGACUGGGGCGGUCGCCUCCGAAAGAGUAACGGAGGCGUGCAAAGGUUCCCUCAGUGCGGUUGGUAAUCGCGCGUGGAGUGCAUUGGCAUAAGGGAGCUUAACUGCGAGACCAACAAGUCGAGCAGGUGCGAAAGCAGGCCAAAGUGAUCCGGUGGUUCUGUGUGGAAGGGCCAUCGCUUAACGGAUAAAAGGUACGCCGGGGAUAACAGGCUGAUCCCGCCCGAGAGUUCACAUCGACGGCGGGGUUUGGCACCUCGAUGUCGGCUCAUCGCAUCCUGGGGCUGGAGAAGGUCCCAAGGGUUCGGCUGUUCGCCGAUUAAAGCGGUACGUGAGCUGGGUUCAGAACGUCGUGAGACAGUUCGGUCCCUAUCCAUCGCGGGCGGAGGAGAUUUGAGGGGAGCUGACCCUAGUACGAGAGGACCGGGUCGGACGGACCUCUAGUGUAUCCGUUAUCGUGCCAACGGUAUGGCGGAGUAGCUACGUCCGGAUGAGAUAAGCGCUGAAAGCAUCUAAGCGCGAAACUCGCCUCGAGAUUAGAUCUCCCCUAGCAUUAGCUAGCUAAAGGACCCUCGGAGAUGACGAGGUUGAUAGGCCGGAGGUGUAAGCACGGCAACGUGUUCAGCCGACCGGUACUAAUCGUCCGUGCGGCUUGACC